rnacentral:tRNA from 1 species
GGAGGUGACCGGCGACUGGUGUCGCCCGCGGUCUUCAAAGCCGUCGUUGGGUCGAUAAGGUCCAGGGUGGGUUCGAUUCCCAUUCACCUCCGCCA